CAACCGAGCGAAGUGAUGUGAAAUACGUCGGACGUGUAGUGAAUAGAAAACCCUAAUUAAUGCGGGCGUCACAAUGUCCCAAAAUUGACACGAGAUGGAUCCACAAUGUUUAAAUUCGACUCUGAUCGUAAAAACACCGAGCCAUUUCGUGGGGGCAUCUUAAGCCAUCGUAUGGCCGCCUAUGGAGUUUCUUAGCUUCGUGAGUGUUGGCAAAAUCUUUGGCAUGCCAAAUAAUUGCUGAAAGACCUUGGGUAGGUUCAUUUUCGUGUUGCAUUCGUGUGUCCAUUUUGCCCCCCAUCAGGCCAUCGUGAGGACAUCUUGUCAAAUCGUGUCAUCUUCGUCUUUACUUCGUGUGAACAUCGUUGCCAUUGGGCAUUUAUCUCCUCGCGAAGACAAUAAACACGAAUCUGCCCGAUAGUCGUAGGAAGGCAACACGACAACGCGAAAUCCUCGCAAUGUCGUCAUGUAGUACGAUGACAUUGAGAUGGGACCAAGGUGUUGGCGAAAACAGCCGAAUUUAUGUAGCUCAAGCGAUUCCUAUGUGCCAUGAUAACAUGGACAUGUGGAAGGCCAGCCUCAGAGUAUCUUCCUGUGUCAGUCCUGUAGUACGCAACAAAAUAGAGCUUAGACGUGUAGCCAUCGUGUGACCCUCGAGUAUAAACUAAUAUACAAAAUUCACAUCUUCGUGUGUGUUUUGGGCGCCACCGUGUGACCUUCAAUAGGCAACGCCCUGGUUUUGGCUGUUGAUGGGCGGUUGACCAAGUUCGGGGCAAUUUUCGCGCGAAAUUCAAAACUCCACAUCCUAUUUCCAUUUGGUGUUAAUUUCGGGACAGUUUGACACAAGCAUAAAUAAUAGAAAUAUUGCAAGUUUACCGGUAUACAGAAUUUCGAAUCUUAAUGAGAGACACCCCCGACCCCCGCCUCCCCCACCUACUGCAGAAGGAAGAAGCAAUUGCCAAUAGAAAGGCAAGGGGCAACCCCCUCUCUGUACGCGCCUGUGCUUCUAUGUAAUCUGAAGAAAAGACGAAUGGGACUCUUGUCAUCACCUACUGGAGCUCAUUGUCCAAUUACCAAAGAUUCCAUACUCUAUUUUAUUUGCCUAUCUUAUUUCAGGAGGAGGGGGAGGGGGAGGGGGCAUAGUGGGUUAACGCGUGCGUGUAAAAUUACCAGGUCUGUCAUUGAAUCAAGUGCCGUGUUUCGAAUCCCCGCUAGAAUGUGACAAGGAGUAGGUAGCCUGUCCAACUUCAUGGGUUUUCUCCGGGUCUUCCAGCCCCCUCACCCCCACCACCACCACUGCUAUAGACCCCUACGCGCAAGCGAAUUAUUCAAAUAAAGUUAAAUCAUAUGUUAGUCCCGAAAUGACCUAGUUUGUGUCGAUUGGACGUUUUACACCAUAUUUAUCUCUCUUUUAAUUCACGAACACACCAUUCCCCCUCAUACCCCCACCCCUAUGGAAGACCAAAGAGCUCUUUAUUUAGUGUUCCUAGUUCAUAAUUCAUAGUUCUUAGAAUUAAAAUUCUUUUUUCUUCAAUUAAUUUUUUUGUGGUACCUUAUAAUCAAUAUUUGUUUUACAAAUCAGACAUUCGUCAUAUCAGAUAUGUAAAUUGUAUAUUUGUUUAAUUUAAUUGUAUUUUAAUAAUAAAAUCCCAAAAUUGUAUUUUCAAUUCAUAUGAAACUUACAACGAAAAACAAAUCUCGAACAACAAAUUUCUAAAUACCAAUCUUGCAAAACGAAUGUCAGUAGUGCAGGACGGUGGGUCUAAUAAGGACAGCUGCCUACACUGAAAAAACACUUGUGUUGGAUCUCAACACAAGUACUUGUGUUAAAACUAAUCUACACAAGUUAUGUGUUGUUUUGCAUUGCAUUAACACAAACUUGUGUCGAUUUAUAAAAUCUUGUGUUUUUUUCAUAUCAUUAACACAAUUAAUGUGUACCUUCCAAGAUUUGUUUUCUUUUUAAAAAAAAAACUCCAUACAAAGUCUGAAUUCGGGAGUCGUCAAGUUUUAAGAAAAGUAAUAAAGGGCUUAAUUCACAUCUCGAAAAUCACAUGCUGUUCUUCACUGGAAGGGUGUGAGUACCAAUUAAUCAGACAAUUGCCAGACAGACUUGAAUGUUAAUUGAUGUUAAGUUGUCUGUAAAGUUAAAAUGUCUGUCUUUUUUUAUUGACCCAAUAAACUGAUAGAUCAGAUGAAUAUAUAGUGUACAUGUGAUUUUCAGCACCCUGGUGUUUUCGAAAAUUGAUUCAAUGUACAAUGAACAAAAAAAAUGAGUAAAACUCUUAAUAAUGUAAUUGGUUGAUGUAAUCGAAAUUGGACAGUAUUGGUUAACUGAAAAGUAACCAAUCAAAUUUAAUUGAUCAUCCACGUGUAUCUCAUAAUCGACUUAUUGAUAUAAUGGUUCUCCAAGUUAUCUAUACUUUUUGUCUGCGAUAUCACUUCGGUGGAAGCGGACGUAAAAUACAACUAACUAAGAAGAAGUAUCUAUACUUUAGUCAUUGCGACAAAUUCUUUCUUUGAUAUUAUAUCAGCGACAUUCAGUUAGAUAGAUGUAGUGAAGUUAGCACCGGAAGUCUAUUUAUAUAAUGGCGCUACAAAGAAAAUUUUUUUGAUGUGUUCUAAAAGUGUUCCGCUAAUUCAGCAAUCUAAUGAAUCUGUAUUAAUUUUUCUGAAAUCGUGCUUAAUUAUUAUUAGCUAAUCGGCGCUACACCGUUGUUCAAAUACUUAUAAUUUAAAGAAACCCCCGACUAGGACCAGCAGGUAAGAAUCUGUCUUGAUUUUAUAGUAAUACCCGGUUGCAAUUAUUGGCCGCCAUCUUUGAUUUUUAUAGACGUUCGGGCAAAAGGAUAAAUGUAUAUCCAGACAUGGACUAUAGCUAGAUACUAACUUUUGUGUUAGUUGUUUAGUUGAAAUGUAAUCUUAUUUCUGUAAAAGAAAAAAACAACAACAAACAAAUCAGCCUUUUUUUUAUAUCAAUGUCAUCAAUGUGUAGGCCUAAUAUUAGACUUUCAAUGAUUCAGAAGUUUCUCUACAGUUUCGUUAUUUUUUUUCCCAGUCAUUGAUGUUAGCAUGUACUACACAAAGAAAAACAGGCAAAUCAUGAAGCCAAAGGAAAUGUUUUUACCAAGGCAUGUUCCUCAAUAGCGGAGAGAGUUUUAUCCAGUGUCGGUUCUGCAGAAGAAUCCAUUCAUAGCAGACCACCCAUUGCAGCACUUGUAAGGUCGCUAUAAAGAACCCGACAGACUCUGCGACCAAAAGAUCCCACUGACGUGUCGUCAAGCCUUGACGAAGAUUUCAUCGAUCAUAGUGCACCGGGAUUUUAUCAAAAAAGAGUAAAAGUUGGGGAAAGGCGCCAUCACCUUUUUUGUACUGAUAGACAGAUGCAACUACUCGCACGCGCAAAAACUUGGUAUAUGGAUGCAACUUUUCGGGUGGUGAACAAGCUAUGGUCUCAGCUGUUUUCCAUACACGCCUUCAUUAAGACUGGAGAGACCACCCGACAGUUACCAUUGGUGUUUUGUGUAAUGUCGGGUAAAAGCCAAGACGACUAUUAUAAGUUUCCAUAUUAGAUGCCAUAGCAAAUCAAAGAUCAUAUUAUAAAAUAAGUCAAAAAACCCAAAUAUGGAAAAAGAAAGAGCUGAAGAAAUGGUGAUUUGAGCACCUAUGCUUUCUCAUAGGUGUUUUUGGAGGUUUCCAUAUUAGAUGCCAUAGCAAAUCAAAGAUCAUAUAAUAAAAUAAGUCAAAAAACCCAAAUAUGGAAAAAGAAAGAGCUGAAGAAAUGGUGAUUUGAGCACCUAUGAUUUCUCAUAGAUGUUUUUGGAGGUUAACUACAUCAGAAAGAUCAAGACAGUUGGAAAUGGCUAUUCAUAUUAUGGAAACUUUUUCUCACAGAGCUUGAUAAUCAGGUAAAAUGCUGGAAGAUUAUUUGAUGUAUGAUAACAACAAGAGAUCCCAAGCAUCAAUUUAUUUUAUAAUUCUGGAAAAGAAUGCAUUUGACCCAAUUUUUGAAUAUUUUUUUUUGUUUUUACUGUUAAAUAUUCAUCCCAAACACAAUUAGAUUUUAAUUCUCUACAGAAAUUUAUGUAUAAUACAGAAUGUAAAGUGACAUAUAAAUCACUUAGAAUUUGGUUGGAAAUCAUAAAGUAUUUAAUAGGCAUAGUCUAGAAACCAAAUGUAGAUCAAAUAUACCCAGAAUUACAAAAAACCUCGACCUACAUUAAGGUGACUUUCCCUUGCUUAUGAAAUGAAAUAGGGUUUAAUAUCCUACUUUUCUGUGUUAUUAUGGUGAUUCUGCCCUACAACCUACUCUUAUAUCAAAUAUUUCAUCCGUCAAGGGUUGUUUAAAGGGAACCCAGGAGGGCCGAAUGGUUAACACACGCACAUUGGAUCAGAAGGGUCUGUCAUUGAGUCAGAUAAUUCAAUUGUCAAGGGUUCUUUAAAGUAAACGCAGUGGGGGUAGUUUCAAUUCUGGGCUUAUACCCAAUUAUCCCUUGCCAUGUCCUACACUACUGACGUGUGGGAACUAUGUCGGAAAAUCCAGUUGAAAUUUCUCGGCCAAUGCACUCACUGAAUCACAGUGGCUGCUCCUUGCUUUUGACUUGUGAUUAUUUAUAUAUAUUUUGUACAUAUUAUUUAAUGUUUGCGAUUUUCUCUGAUAUUUUUUUAUUUUUCAAUCCUGUAAUCUUGAUGCUUUGCUCCUUUUAUGUACAAAAUAUUUAUUUUGUUUGAGGAAAAGGUUCUACAUCAUUUUAUUACUCCUGCAAAAUAGUGCAUUUUUCUUUUGUUAGUUUUCUGUGUAUGCUAGUUAUUUCUAGAUGCCUCACAAAUCACUUGUAAUAUGACUUUGUAGCACUUUUCAGUUUCUGAAAGUAUUUCAAUUUAGUGCAUAAUUAAUCUAAUUAGGGCUUGGUUUGGAUGUUAUUAAAUUUAGAUAUAUUUGAAUUAUAUAUUUUUGGGGUAUGGGGUAGGGAUCUUUCUUUUCUCAGUUCUUGUUUUCGGGUAAAGAAAAAAUUAAAUAGCUAUUUUGAAUUUUGUGAUGUGGGGGGGGGAGGGG